rnacentral:lncRNA from 1 species
CCGGAGGCCAGAGGGUGAUCUAACACUGACACACCAAGUCCGAGUGGGAUAACUAUUUUACAUCCCAGCUGUUUUAGAUUAGACGAAAAACCAUUUACAAUUCAUAAAAUCGAGUUAAGAACGCCUCACAACCAUUAUAAUAUACUUUAUACAUUACUAUAUGAUUUAUACCCUUUUUGACCCCCGAACACGAUGAGCAGAUAUCAAAUAAUGUCAACUCGCCCCACUGGCAAAUCGGCCCAACCUAUAUCGCCACUUUAUAAAAAAUAAUCGACCCACUCUUGUUUACCGACUCGCCCCACUUUUGAAGAAGUGUAAAAUCAAACUAAACAAUCACUGACAACUCACUUAUUAACGAAAAGGGUUUAAACCCCACUGAAAAAAGGUCUGACAACUCGCCCCACUUAUAAAAAUAUCUUGCUUCCUUUAAGUAUGUUAAAUUACUGAC